rnacentral:rRNA from 1 species
UUACUGGGCGUAAAGCGCAUGCAGGUGGUUUGUUAAGUCAGAUGUGAAAGCCCGGGGCUCAACCUCGGAACUGCAUUUGAAACUGGCAAACUAGAGUACUGUAGAGGGGGGUAGAAUUUCAGGUGUAGCGGUGAAAUGCGUAGAGAUCUGAAGGAAUACCAGUGGCGAAGGCGGCCCCCUGGACAGAUACUGACACUCAGAUGCGAAAGCGUGGGGAGCAAACAGGAUUAGAUACCCUGGUAGUCCACGCCGUAAACGAUGUCUACUUGGAGGUUGUGGCCUUGAGCCGUGGCUUUCGGAGCUAACGCGUUAAGUAGACCGCCUGGGGAGUACGGUCGCAAGAUUAAAACUCAAAUGAAUUGACGGGGGCCCGCACAAGCGGUGGAGCAUGUGGUUUAAUUCGAUGCAACGCGAAGAACCUUACCUACUCUUGACAUCCAGAGAACUUAGCAGAGAUGCUUUGGUGCCUUCGGGAGCUCUGAGACAGGUGCUGCAUGGCUGUCGUCAGCUCGUGUUGUGAAAUGUUGGGUUAAGUCCCGCAACGAGCGCAACCCUUAUCCUUGUUUGCCAGCGAGUAAUGUCGGGAACUCCAGGGAGACUGCCGGUGAUAAACCGGAGGAAGGUGGGGACGACGUCAAGUCAUCAUGGCCCUUACGAGUAGGGCUACACACGUGCUACAAUGGCGCAUACAGAGGGUAGCCAACUCGCGAGAGUGAGCGAAUCCCAAAAAGUGCGUCGUAGUCCGGAUUGGAGUCUGCAACUCGACUCCAUGAAGUCGGAAUCGCUAGUAAUCGUAGAUCAGAAUGCUACGGUGAAUACGUUCCCGGGCCUUGUACACACCGCCCGUCACACCAUGGGAGUGGGCUGCAAAAGAAGUGGGUAGUUUAACCUUCGGGGGGACGCUCACCACUUUGUGGUUCAUGACUGGGGUGAAGUCGUA